rnacentral:rRNA from 1 species
GAUGAACGCUGGCGGCGUGCCUAAUACAUGCAAGUCGAGCGAACAGACGAGGAGCUUGCUCCUCUGACGUUAGCGGCGGACGGGUGAGUAACACGUGGAUAACCUACCUAUAAGACUGGGAUAACUUCGGGAAACCGGAGCUAAUACCGGAUAAUAUAUUGAACCGCAUGGUUCAAUAGUGAAAGACGGUUUUGCUGUCACUUAUAGAUGGAUCCGCGCCGCAUUAGCUAGUUGGUAAGGUAACGGCUUACCAAGGCAACGAUGCGUAGCCGACCUGAGAGGGUGAUCGGCCACACUGGAACUGAGACACGGUCCAGACUCCUACGGGAGGCAGCAGUAGGGAAUCUUCCGCAAUGGGCGAAAGCCUGACGGAGCCACGCCGCGUGAAUGAUGAAGGUCUUCGGAUUGUAAAACUCUGUUAUUAGGGAAGAACAAAUGUGUAAGUAACUAUGCACGUCUUGACGGUACCUAAUCAGAAAGCCACGGCUAACUACGUG